rnacentral:rRNA from 1 species
AACGAACGCUGGCGGCAGGCUUAACACAUGCAAGUCGAGCGCCCCGCAAGGGGAGCGGCAGACGGGUGAGUAACACGUGGGGAUCUGCCCGAUGGUACGGAAUAGCUCCGGGAAACUGGAAUUAAUACCGUAUGUGCCCGCAAGGGGAAAGAUUUAUCGCCAUCGGAUGAACCCGCGUCGGAUUAGCUAGUUGGUGUGGUAAAGGCGCACCAAGGCGACGAUCCGUAGCUGGUCUGAGAGGAUGAUCAGCCACACUGGGACUGAGACACGGCCCAGACUCCUACGGGAGGCAGCAGUGGGGAAUAUUGGACAAUGGGCGCAAGCCUGAUCCAGCCAUGCCGCGUGAGUGAUGAAGGCCUUAGGGUUGUAAAGCUCUUUCGCCGACGAAGAUAAUGACGGUAGUCGGAGAAGAAGCCCCGGCUAACUUCGUGCCAGCCGCCGCCGUAAUAC